AAAUUGAUGACUUUUAAUGAGUACGAAGUAGUUUGGGUCAAACCAAGCUGCUGAUGAACUUAUUUCGCAGCCUGAAA
rfam:Tetrahymena thermophila SB210 genomic scaffold scf_8254527, whole genome shotgun sequence.